UACGGAGGGAGCUAGCGUUGUUCGGAGUUACUGGGCGUAAAGGGUGCGUAGGCGGUUGUUUAAGUUUGGUGUGAAAUCUCCCGGCUCAACUGGGAGGGUGCGCCGAAUACUGAAUGACUAGAGUGCGGGAGAGGAGAGUGGAAUUCCUGGUGUAGCGGUGAAAUGCGUAGAUAUCAGGAGGAACACCGGUGGUGUAGACGGCUCUCUGGACCGUAACUGACGCUGAGGCACGAAAUCGUGGGUAGCAAACAGG
rnacentral:rRNA from 1 species